rnacentral:rRNA from 1 species
AUCGAUGGCCAUAACACCCUGAAUGCGCCUGAUCUCCUGUCUGAUCUCAGAAGCUAAGCAGGGUCAGGCCUAGUUAUUACUUGGAUAGGAGAAUUCUGAAUUUGCUC